rnacentral:rRNA from 1 species
GAUGAACGCUGGCGGCGUGCCUAAUACAUGCAAGUCGAGCGAACAGACGAGGAUCUUGCUCCUCUGACGUUAGCGGCGGACGGGUGAGUAACACGUGUAUAACCUACCUAUAAGACUGGUAUAACUUCGGGAAACCGGAGCUAAUACCGGAUAAUAUAUUGAACCGCAUGGUUCAAUAGUGAAAGACGGUUUUGCUGUCACUUAUAGAUGGAUCCUCGCCGCAUUAGCUAGUUGGUAAGGUAACGGCUUACCAAGGCAACGAUGCGUAGCCGACCUGAGAGGGUGAUAGGCCACACUGGAACUGAGACACGGUCCAGACUCCUACGGGAGGCAGCAGUAGGGAAUCUUCCGCAAUGGGCGAAAGCCUGACGGAGCAACGCCGCGUGAGUGAUGAAGGUCUUCGGAUCGUAAAACUCUGUUAUUAGGGAAGAACAAAUGUGUAAGUAACUAUGCACGUCUUGACGGUACCUAAUCAGAAAGCAACGGCUAACUACGUG